rnacentral:lncRNA from 1 species
GUCUGCAUAUAGUUUAACAAUCAUAAGAGGAACAGAUUCUUCCACAUAUUUUGUGAAGUACGAUAUUCCUCCUCCCUCGACAUUUCUAUUUUAAAUUUGAAAAUAUCUCGAGUAGAGAAAAAUCGUUUUACACACUUCCUAAUUUCCUAUAACAUACAAUUUCCUAAAGAUAACAGUAAGUUAUAUUUCAUAAAUACAAUAACAAAAUCAC